GGUCCCCAGAAUGCCUGAAAACUUGACAAGGGCCCUCCUGAGCUGGUUUGAGCAUGCUUCCGCACGCCACUGGCCCGACUCCGCCUAGCUGUGUGACCGAGGCGGAGACACCCUUUCCUUACGGGACAGACCCAGCAACGGAAUACAGGCCAAGCUAAGGAAAGGGGCCCAGGCCAGGCUUCUCAACCUUACCUCCCAGGGUACAUGUGUGGACACCAGGAGGGUUCCAGUGGAGAGGCCCUGAGAUGAUGUACCGUCAGGCAGCCCCUGUGAGAAGCUGGUCAGAGCCUACAGAGAACCGGUCAUGGCACAGGUGACCGGAAAACAACACGAGGUAUAAACAAACACUAAGAAAAGCCCAGACCCCAGAGAAUUCUCUGCGCCUCC